rnacentral:rRNA from 1 species
GAGUUUGAUCAUGGCUCAGGAUGAACGCUGGCGGCGUGCCUAAUGCAUGCAAGUCGAACGCAGGGUGCUUGCACCGCUGCGUGGCGCACGGCUGAGGAACACGUGGGUAAUCUGCCCCGGAGUGGGGGAUACCCCAGCGAAAGCUGGGACAAUCCCGCAUACGCUCGCAAGAGGAAAGCGGUAACGCGCUCCGGGAUGAGCCUGCGGCCCAUCAGGUAGUUGGUGUGGUAAUGGCGCACCAAGCCAGUGACGGGUCCCUGGUCUGAGAGGACGACCAGGCAGACUGGGACUGAGACACGGCCCAGACUCCUACGGGAGGCAGCAGCAAGGAAUUUUCCCCAAUGGGCGCAAGCCUGAGGGAGCAACGCCGCGUGGAGGACGACGGCCUUCGGGUUGUAAACUCCUUUUGGGUGGGACGAUAAUGACGGUACCAUCCGAAUAAGCCCCGGCUAACUCUGUGCCAGCAGCCGCGGUAAUACAGAGGGGGCAAGCGUUGUCCGGACUCACUGGGCGUAAAGCGCACGUAGGCGGUGAAUUGCGUCGGUGCUGAAAGCGCCCCGCUUAACGGGGUGAGGCGUGCCGAUACGAGUUCGCUAGAGGCA